GAUGAACGCUGGCGGCGUGCCUAAUACAUGCAAGUCGAGCGAACAGACGAGGAGCUUGCUCCUCUGACGUUAGCGGCGGACGGGUGAGUAACACGUGGAUAACCUACCUAUAAGACUGGGAUAACUUCGGGAAACCGGAGCUAAUACCGGAUAAUAUAUUGAACCGCAUGGUUCAACAGUGAAAGACGGUUUUGCUGUCACUUAUAGAUGGAUCCGCGCCGCAUUAGCUAGUUGGUAAGGUAACAGCUUACCAAGGCAACGAGGCGUAGCCGACCUGAGAGGGUGAUAGGCCACACUGGAACUGAGACACGGUCAAACCUCCUACGGGAGGCAGCAGUAGGGAAUCUACCGCAAUGGGCGAAAGCCUGACGGAGCAACGCCGCGUGAGUGAUGAAGGGCUUCGGAUCGUAAAACUCUGUUAUUAGGGAAGAACAAAUGUGUAAGUAACUAUGCACGUCUUGACGGUACCUAAUCAGAAAGCCACGGCUAACUACGUG
rnacentral:rRNA from 1 species